rnacentral:tRNA from 1 species
AAGAAGUUAGUUAAAAGAUAACAUUAAUAUGUCAUAUUAAAAUUAUUAAUAAGUUAAUUAAUACAUCUUU